UUAAAGUAGUUGAAAUGAAUCACCGUGAAGCGGUAGUUGUAUUGCACCUGACAGUUUUAUACUUGAACUACAAAGGUAGUUGUCAAAUAUUAGUUUACACAAAUUAUAAUUAUAAACAGAUUUUAUUGAAUAGAUAGGUAUGUGUGAGGUGAAUGAUUAAGGAUAUGAAUGCAUAACUGAGGACAAGAGAUUACAGGGAGAUAAGAUAAGAGGGAAAAGAUAAGAAGGAGUAAGGGAAGAGAAGAAAGGGAUUGCCGAUGGUUGUAUAACUGAAGAUGGUUCCUCGGAAGCUGGUAUAACUCGGGGUAGGUACAACAAUAGGUGUGCCUCGGCUUCGAUAACCCUUGGUGCUAUCCUGAAGUUCUGAUAGAAGAAAUAGAAGUGACGCUGACGAAGACGGAAGAAUAGGUAGUGUCCAGUGACGUUCGAUUAAUUAUAUAAAAUUGAUUUCCAGAGAGAAUAGACUGGCUAAAAGAAUUUAUGCCUAAAUCCCGUGCAAGAUGGUAAUAAGUUGGCUUACCUCUACAGGUGUUGAACGAGCCUAAGUUUUAUGCUGCCAUGUGGUUAAUGAUCCGCACAACGCGUAAAACGCCAAAUCACAAUUGGAACAAUUGAAAUAUGAGCCGGAUAAAACCCAGUUAAGAAUUUGUAGCUUCACCACAUACAGACAAGUGUCUUACAAUGCCACAGGAAGAAUGAAUUCGGGGAAAAUCAAGAGAACUAGGGAUUCCCCUUAUCUAUUAG